ACGCUAGCGGGAGGCCUAACACAUGCAAGCCGAGCGGUAUUUGUUCUUCGGGACAGAGAGAGCGGCGUACGGGUGCGGAACACGUGUGCAACCUGCCUUUAUCUGGGGGAUAGCCUUUCGAAAGGAAGAUUAAUACCCCAUAAUAUAUUGAAUGGCAUCAUUCGAUAUUGAAAACUCCGGUGGAUAGAGAUGGGCACGCGCAAGAUUAGAUAGUUGGUGAGGUAACGGCUCACCAAGUCAAUGAUCUUUAGGGGGCCUGAGAGGGUGAUCCCCCACACUGGUACUGAGACACGGACCAGACUCCUACGGGAGGCAGCAGUGAGGAAUAUUGGACAAUGGGUGCAAGCCUGAUCCAGCCAUCCCGCGUGAAGGACUAAGGCCCUAUGGGUUGUAAACUUCUUUUAUACUGGGAUAAACCUACUUACGUGUAAGUAGCUGAAGGUACAGUAUGAAUAAGCACCGGCUAACUCCGUGCCAGCAGCCGCGGUAAUACGGAGGGUGCAAGCGUUAUCCGGAUUUAUUGGGUUUAAAGGGUCCGUAGGCGGAUUCGUAAGUCAGUGGUGAAAUCUCAUAGCUUAACUAUGAAACUGCCAUUGAUACUGCGAGUCUUGAGUGAGAUUGAGGUAGCUGGAAUAAGUAGUGUAGCGGUGAAAUGCAUAGAUAUUACUUAGAACACCAAUUGCGAAGGCAGGUUACCAAGUCUUAACUGACGCUGAGGGACGAAAGCGUGGGGAGCGAACAG
rnacentral:rRNA from 1 species